rnacentral:rRNA from 1 species
UUGCAGCAUAUCAAUAAGCGGAGGAAAAGAAACCAACAGGGAUUGCCCUAGUAACGGCGAGUGAACAGGCAAGAGCUCAGAUUUGAAAGGCACUUUUGUGCCGUUGUAUUCUGAAGUUAGGGUCCUGAGAAACGAUGCUUAAGUCUUCUGGAAAGGAGCGCCAUGGAGGGUGAUAGCCCCGUCUAGCAUUGACCUCAUAUAGGAUCUUAACAUGGAGUCGAGUUGUUUGGGAAUGCAGCUCAAAUGGGUGGUAUGCUCCAUCUAAAGCUAAAUAUCUGCGAGAGACCGAUAGUAAACAAGUACUGUGAGGGAAAGAUGAAAAGAACUUUGAAAAGAGAGUGAAAAAGUACGUGAAAUUGUUGAAAUGGAAGGGUAGGCCGCUAACCAUGUAGAGCCGUGUUUGGGGGGAAGAUAAAUGCUGUAGAAUGUAGCUCCUCGGAGUAUUAUAGAUGCAGUUCAUAUUCCCACCCCAGCGCGAGGUCUCAUGUCUACUAAAUGCGACUUU